UAGGGAAUCUUCCGCAAUGGACGAAAGUCUGACGGAGCAACGCCGCGUGAGUGAUGAAGGUUUUCGGAUCGUAAAACUCUGUUGUUAGGGAAGAACAAGUAUCGUUCGAAUAGGGCGGUACCUUGACGGUACCUAACCAGAAAGCCACGGCUAACUACGUGCCAGCAGCCGCGGUAAUACGUAGGUGGCAAGCGUUGUCCGGAAUUAUUGGGCGUAAAGCGCGCGCAGGCGGUUUCUUAAGUCUGAUGUGAAAGCCCACGGCUCAACCGUGGAGGGUCAUUGGAAACUGGGAGACUUGAGUGCAGAAGAGAAGAGCGGAAUUCCACGUGUAGCGGUGAAAUGCGUAGAGAUGUGGAGGAACACCAGUGGCGAAGGCGGCUCUUUGGUCUGUAACUGACGCUGAGGCGCGAAAGCGUGGGGAGCGAACAGGAUUAGAUACCCUGGUAGUCCACGCCGUAAACGAUGAGUGCUAAGUGUUAGAGGGUUUCCGCCCUUUAGUGCUGCAGCUAACGCAUUAAGCACUCCGCCUGGGGAGUACGGCCGCAAGGCUG
rnacentral:rRNA from 1 species